UCUGCUAAGCUUUAUUUUUACCUUUUCUUUUCCCUCCAAUUUUUUUCCCCUCUAAAUCUUCUCCCGCCUAAAUAUUAUAUCACUUCUCUAAUUUGCCUAAAAAAAGGAAAACCUACGCCUCUAAGAAUUAGGUCUCAUUCUUAAAAAAGCUUUUACAAUUUUCAUGGUGUAAGAAAACCUCCGCCUCUAGCAACCAAAAUUUUCGCCAAUUGAAAGGUGAUACCCUCUGCCCGUUAGACUGCCCCUCACUGCUUGGACGAGGCAGAAUUAUCUGCUGCACAUUAUCAUCUCUUAAGGCUGGUAAGUUAACUCCAACAUCCUCCUCAUGUGUAAGUGCAUCAAAAGCAUUUUGACAGGGGCGGAUCUAGCGUGUAGUAUAUGGGUUCCCGGGAACCUAGUAACUUUUGCAUAGACCCUGUAUUUUUGUUAAAAAAUUUAUUAAAUAUCUAUUUGUGAACCCAGUUAUUAUUGUAUAUUAAUUUGAAAUUACGACAUGAACCCAUAAACUUAAAAUCCUGGAUCCGCCUCUGCAUUUUGAGUUAUGAUAGCUUUUGAGACAUUCUGUCACACAACUGGGAAAGUUGACUGCUGCUGCGUAUUUUCCACCAACGGAGUGUUACCUUGACUACUUGAAGAUCCAAAAGUAUAGAAAUAAUAGGGCCAAACAAAAUAUGCCUCACACAGGAGGAUCCAAAAGUAUUGCCGCCUUAAUGGAUGAGCAGGCCAAGAAUGGUAUAGAGCCUACACGAGCAGAAAUAUUUAUACUGACACACAAAAAACGUAAAGAUGAUAGACUAUUGGAUGAGGUGUCUGCAAAGGCAGUUGUCGUUGAUACCAACCGUGGCCAUGAGUGAAUACCAGAAUCACCCAAUAUGCAUAAUGUAGCUGGAAAUACUCCGUCGUCUCGUGGUUAAACAGUAUGAUGUGAAAGAUUUCAGUACGAGGAAGAUUUGCAGAAUUGUUUGAGGGCUUCUACUCUUUUGUUAUUAUGAAUAUUAUAUAGAAUUAGCGAUGAUAACAUUGGUUAUUUUGUUUGAACAAUGUAAUUUUAUCUUACAUGUCGUUGACACAUUAGUAAGAAUUAAUACUUUCUUUUGUUUUUCUAGAUUGAAUGAAAUAUAUUAUGUUUUUAUGAGUUAA